rnacentral:rRNA from 1 species
GGCCAGACUCCUACGGGAGGCAGCAGUGGGGAAUAUUGCACAAUGGGGGAAGCCCUGAUGCAGCGACGCCGCGUGAGUGAAGAAGUAUUUCGGUACGUAAAGCUCUAUCAGCAGGGAAGAAAAAAAGUCCUUUGGACUUUGGACGGUACCUGACCAAGAAGCCCCGGCUAACUACGUGCCAGCAGCCGCGGUAAUACGUAGGGGGCAAGCGUUAUCCGGAUUUACUGGGUGUAAAGGGAGCGUAGACGGUGCAGCAAGUCUGAUGUGAAAGGUCGGGGCCCAACCCCGGGACUGCAUUGGAAACUGUUGAACUGGAGUACAGGAGAGGUAAGCGGAAUUCCUAGUGUAGCGGUGAAAUGCGUAGAUAUUAGGAGGAACACCAGUGGCGAAGGCGGCUUACUGGACUGUAACUGACGUUGAGGCUCGAAAGCGUGGGGAGCAAACAGGAUUAGAUACCCCUGUAC